UUCUUCUUGAGUUUGGUUCUAGCUCAGCGUAAACGUUAUCAAAGUAUUUCGACAUGCUAGUUUUUAUCAUAUCGCAAAAUGUGGUAUUGCUACAGCGGAGUAAAACAAAAAGAGUUACAUCGAUAGUACGAUAUAUUUUUUUGUAAGAUCAGGACAAAUAAUGAAGCUUAAAUUUCAUUAGUCGAAGACCUUUAACGAAUUUUCACGAAUUUCUCGUCCGAUUGGUUCUGAAACAACAACCAAAUUCAAAAGAAUCGCAGUCAAGAAUAUUGGACAAUGAGCGAAAGCUUGAUCCAGUAACUUUGAAUAGGUACAAAAAUCUUUUUCUAACCUACAAAACUUUAAAACUAUGAUUAUUGUGUGGUAGUUGUCUCUAAUCACGUGCCAGAAGAGUCGGUAAUACGUGAGCAACAAACGUUAUGCAAAAAGACUAGGUUUACAUAGCAAUUAGAGGAAGAUAUCCCGUAGAAAGAAAACUCAACGAUUAUUGAGUUUUUAAGAAUAAAUGAUAUCUUUCGAGUAAUACCGAUGAAAAUAGAAUGAAUCAAUUAACGAUAAAAUGUGUUUAGUUGAUUUGGAAUAUCAUUCAGUGAAGACGAUUUUCUACGUAUAACGAACAAUAGAGUUUCUCUUUGUUUACUGACCUUUUUAUUGCGGAAGCUUGAGGAGCAACAAGAGUUAGUCAUUCUUUUAGUUCAAGCCGUCAACGAUGACUUUCUUUAUUCAAAACUUUUUGGAUAAACAGCAAAAGCAGAAAAGUUAACCUGAAUAGUAAAAACGCAAGUUCUAUCCUCAAAGAACUCGGUGAGCUGAGACACUAUUUGUGGAGCAUUGCGAAUUAAUUGGACAGUACACCCAAACCUUAUCUUUGCUUGUAUAAUGCGAUAUUUAAACUAGCUUUGUAAAAUGUUACAAAAUUUUCCGCAUUACAAAUGUUGCAUGGUUGUCGAGCAGAUCUUAUUUUAAAAUGUUUGGUUAAUUCCAAUAAAGAUCGAACCUUUUUUUCUUAUUUUCUAAUCUAAAGAAAAGAUUUACCAUAAGAAUAUCAAUAUCUAUAAGAUUUAUGAAAAGAAAACGACGACUAAAUCUUUAUGACUUUUAUGCGAAGAGCUUUACGUGUGCUAUAAUGAAACGAUCAAAAAGUUACUUGAUACUAUAAUUUCUGGUUAAUCUAUAAAGUGUUUCCCAGUUCGGAUUAUUUCUUGCAAUUUAGAAGUAUGAAGUCAGAAUAAAAAGUAAUGGAAGACAAGAAUGCUUCCGUGAAAAAAAACCUCUCAGUUGCACGUUUCGCCCAUCACCUCGAGAAAUUUCGUUUCGAUUGAAGCUAAAAACAAUACCUUGAAACAUCGGUAUGUUUUACUGUGACAUUGGAUCCUAUAAUUUCGAGCAAGUUGUAACAAAGUAGCUGUUGAUGAAUCAGUAGCUGGAACAAGAUUUAA
rnacentral:rRNA from 1 species